rnacentral:lncRNA from 1 species
CCCCAUUGAAAUACUUCUCAACCAUCCUAUUUGGUACACCCUCGUCAAAAAUAAAGUCAUACCUAUUUGACACACAAUUCAAUCCAGUUAUGUUAGCAAAUUCCCUGGGAAUAAAAUUAAGAAAGGUCUCAUUAGCACAAAUCAGAAUCCCAGAAGAAGAACUACCUUUCACCUCAAGCGUCAUAACGCAUCUGCAAAACUGUGCUUGCACUACACAUUGUUGCUUCUUCAUAAAAUAACCAAAAAUAUUUUUAUCGCAAAAGUUUUUAAACUGUUCCUUGUUUAAAAUUGCGCGUAUGCUUCCAUAAAUAUCUUUGUCACUAUAAGAACACAUGUGUGGUGCAAAUCUUGGAUGUUUUCUGACAAUGAAUAUUUCAUCCCGCAUCACCUAUACAAAGAAUCAUAUAACAUGCAGCCAAAAAAUCAAGCAGCCAAUAAAAAUUAAAAACAUAUAACAGGCAUAUGUAUUUUUAUCAUAUCAAAACUGCAACCAACACUGAAAAAUAUAUAUCAAAUAUACUAAAAAUACAUAUAUUCAAUAGAUUGUUCUGGUAUUUAAGCUAAAAUUAACAUGCAUAUGUAUUUUUAUCAUAUCAAAACUGCAACCAACACUGAAAAAUACAUAUCAUAUGUACUAAAAAUACAUAUAUCCAACAGACUGAUGUAGUAUUUCAAGUAAAAUUAACAUGCAUAUGUAUUUCUUACCAUAUCAAAACUGCAACCAACACUGAAAAAUACAAAUCAUUUAUGCUAAAAAAUACAUAUAGCAAAUAUAUUCUUCAUGAGUAGUUAAUACAACAAUAUAUUUUCCCAAUUAUACUAUCAUCUUCACAAAUCAACAUUCAAUCACCAAAUAUCAUCAUAACACCAAAAUACAUAUUAACUACAUCAAAAAAAAUACAUAUAACUUACAACUUUAACAACAUCUUUACUUGGGGCAAAAUAUAUAUUACUCAAAAAAUACAUUUAGAACCAAAAAAUACCUCUUCCUCGCUAACAUCUUCAGAAUCAUCAUCAAAAGAGAUUUGAACAUCCUCAUCAACCUUAGUCAAACCUUCAAUUUCUUUCGCUUUUCUUUUAUUCUCGAUUUUUUUAAUUUUUUUUCCUUCUGAGAAGGCGAUGUCUUCAACGGUUUUUUUUUCAAAAAAAUUUUCAUCUUCAGCGGAUCGUUGCGGAACUUCGACCUAAUCUCCUCCGAUUUCUUAGAUUUCUUCGACUGUAAAGAAUUUGAAACAACUUUAACUACAUCUUCUUGAGUUAACCCUAGACUAAAAGAUGGUCCACAAUCAUAGACUAAAUUUAAAUUACUUAUACCACUAUUUGUUCAUAAUUUUGGUGUUUGUUCAGCCAUUAAAAUCAAAAACCUUAAAUUCUGAUUUUGAGAUAUAUUAGAGUUUGCUAAUUCUGAAAUUUACCCAAAAAAAAAAUGCUAACAUGUAAUAGCUAAAUUAAGAGUUACCUGAAAUAGAUGAAGAUAAUCUUUACUGAUGAUGCUAAAAUCGUGCAAAGUGAAAAAAAAUGGGAGCGAAAAGAUAUACUUUAGGGCGAAAAAAAUGGCAAAAAAUCUUUCAAAAGAAUGAAAGAGAAAGCUAAUGGUGUGAAAAGAGAAAAAACUUACAGUUACUUCUCCAAGUGGAUAAAAAGUAGGGACCACAUAAAAUAAUGUUAUGGAUGUUACAAAAUGUAAUUUAAUAAAAUUGUUGUUAUUUUUUUUAAUUUCAUGCUAAAGUUUGAUACUUUAUGUAUUUUACCCAUUACUAAAUAGGAAAGUAAAUUACUUCUAACAUUUUGACUCUAGAACUUUCACCUUCUCAUCUUCUUUCUUAAAUUUCCAUCUAGUUUUCUCCGUUGAUUUUGUUAAUUUUUUUACAAUUCAAAAUUUAAUAUUAGUUAUUAUGCUUUCUAAGUUAGCUUCUUGAUGAGAAAUAGAGGAUGUUAAUUUUUUCAUAUAUUUAAGCAUGUGAAUUGUUGUCUGAGCAUUUGAAUUGGACCUUCAUUCAGGUUUGUAGAAUAAUCAAAUAACUGAAAGGUAUAGAAAACAACCUACUAAGACAAGUAAAUUUCUCCAUAGAUUCAUUACCCUAUAUGUAUAAAAUAUAGAAAGUUAAACUUCAAAAAGAAUUACUUAGUUCAUCAAAAAAUUUAUCCAAUAUUUUACAGGUGAGGGCAAGAAAGACAGAGGAGCAACUGAGGAAAGCAAUAAUCUUCCUAUGAGCAUCAGACUUAGAUCAACUAAUCUUAUGAUGAACCUAAGACCGUCAGUUGGAAUAGAGGUGAUGACAUCCAUUUCAAUCUUAAUUAGAUCAAUUUACUUGUAUGAGUAUGUGAAUUGUUGGAAAGAUAUUGAGGUUUAUAUCUGUGUAUUUCAAUCAUCUUGAUUUAGCAAGCUCGUAGAAAUUUUCUCUGAGAAAAUAUGUCUUUAUUGUAUUUGAUACAUCAGGUAAUUUGUUUGAUCUGCUUUGCAUAUCGAAGUUGUAAAUAUUUCUUUUGGUUUGGCUGAUUCUGUCUUAAAUGGGUGUCUUAUUAGAAAUAAGACAUCCAUUUUCAAUUAGAAAGAUAAUUACAAAAAAUAUUUCUUUUGAUUUGGUUGAUUCUGUUAUAAAUGGGUGUCUUAUAAUGCAGAAUUAUUAUUAAAUGGACGAAAAAUUCUUGAUUAUAGAGUAUUUUUUAUUCUUGCUUAUGUGAAAUGCCGGAUUUGAUUUUAAAUUAAAUGUUUGGUUUUACAUUUAUAGUUGAAGAAGUAAUUUUAUUUUAGAACAAAAAAAUUCAAAAUUUGGACGUGAAUUUGUUUAAUUGGUAGCUUUGGAAAACUCGUGAUUGUUUUGCAGAUGUGAAUUGCAAGCUAGAGAGAAAUGAUAAUGGUUCCUACAUAGUUAGGAUAUCUGUCACUUCCAUCAUUGUUGUGGCAGAGUUGAGAAGGCCAUUGGCGCUGCUUAUGAGAGGCAAGAUUGUGCAACACAUGGAUAUCACUCCUACGGUUGUUAAACUUAUGUUCUAUCGAGAACGAAUUAACACUAUGAGGACAGUUCAUAGGGAGACAGGAUCCUAUAUUCAUCUUGACAAGCAUAGCUUGCAUGUUAGAAUUUUUGGUUCUUCAGACAAUGUUGAUAGGGCUGAACAGAGAUUUAUUAACUCCCUUUUGGCACUAUAUGAAAGUAAACAACUUGAGGUGCAUCUUCGUGGAGGACUUUUGCCUCCUGACCAGAUGAAAAGAAAUGUUAUAACAUUUGGACCAAAUCUUAGUGUGCUUAAAGAAAAGGUGCCUAAGACAAAGUUUUCUCUGAACACAAAGCACCAUUGCAUAUGUAUCAAUGGUACUAAAGAUAUGAAGCAAAGCGUUAAGGACAUAAUCUAUUAAAUUGCGCAGAGCAGUUUUCCAACUCAAACGACGGGAGAUAAGGCUCACUGUGUUGUUUGCUUGUGUGAACUGGAGGAUCCUUAUAGACUUAAAGCUUGUACCCAUGCAUUCUGUCGCUCAUGCUUGCUAGAGCAGUGCGAGUCUGCAAUCAAAAGCCAAAAAGGUUUCCUCAUGUGUUGUUUGCGUUCUGGUUUUGGGGAACCUUUUUUGCUUGUUGAUUUGAAGUCUCUAUUAUCAACUGCGAAGUUAGAAGAACUUUUCAGGGCUUCCUUGAGAUCUUUUGUGACAACCAAUGCAGGUACUUACCAAUUUUUCCCCUCACCAGACUGCCCUUCAACUUAUCGCAUUGCAGUUUCUGAUAUGGAGUUUGGUGCAUCAUUUGUCUGUGAUGCAUGCUAUGGAAGCAUGAACGACAGAAUACAUAUGAUAAACUAAAAGGCAGUCUGGUGAGGGUAAAAAGCGGUGAGUACCUGCAUUGGCUGUCAUAAAGCUCCCAGGGAAGCCCUAAUAAGUUCAUCCAACUUCUCAGUUGACAAUAGAGACUUCAAAUCAGCAAACAAAAAGGGUUCCCCACAACCAGAAUGCAAACAACACAUGGGGAAACCAUCUCAUAUUUUGAUCGCAGGCUCACAUUGCUCUAGCAAGCAUGAACGACAGAAUGCAUGGGUAUAAGCUUCGAGUCUAUAAGGAUCCUCCAGUUCACACAAGCAAACAACACAGUGAGCCUUAUCUCCUGUCGUUUGAGUUGGAAACUGCGCUGCACAAUUUAAGAGAUUAUAUCCUCAACGCUUUACUUUAUGACUUUACUACCAUUGAUACAGAUGCAACGGCACUUUGUGUUCAGAGAAAACUCUGCCCCAGGCACCUUUUCUUUAAGUACACUAAGAUUUGGUCUAAAUGUUAUAACGACUCUUUAAUCAGGUCAGGAGGCAAAAGUCCUCCACGAAGAUGCACCUCAAGUUGUUUACUUUCAUGUAGUGCCAGAAAGGAGUCAAUAAAUCUUUGUGCAGCCCUAUUAACAUUGUCUGAAGAUCCAAAAAUUUUAACAUGCAAGUUAUGCUUGUCAAGAUGAAUAUAGGAUCCCGUCUCCCCAUGAACUGUCCUCCUAAUGUUAAUUCGUUCUCGAGAGAACAGAAGUUUAACAACCGUCGAAGUGAUAUCCACGUGUUGCACAAUCUUGCCUCUCAUAAGCAACUCCAAUGGCCUUCUCAACUCUUCCACAACAAUGGUGGAAGUGGCAGAUAUCCUAACUAUAUAGGAACCAUUAUCAUUUCUCUCUAGCUUGCAAUUCACAUCUGCAAAAUAAUCACGAGUUUCCCUGAGCUACCAAUUAAACAAAUUCACUUCUAAAUUCUGAAUUUUUUUGUUCUGAAAUAAAAUCACCUCAUAAACUAUAAAUCCAAAACAGAAAAUUUAAUUUAAAACCAAAUUCGGUACUUCACAUAAAUAAGUUCAUGAAUGAGAAGAGUACUAAUAAUAAGUCAUUAAUUGUUAUUAUAAUAAAAGUCAUUAAUAAAAAUAGAAUAUAAAACAAAAAAAUAGAAAAAAACUAAAAACUCAUCAUCUUGUCUAUGACCUUCCUUUAUAUAAUAUAUAGAUUGAUAUACACUUAAAUAGGCAAAAUUUUAAUUAUAUUCUUAAAUAUUAGAGCUAUUUCUUAAACAUGUGUAAUGAGAUAUAAAGGGGAGAAAUAGGAAGUUUUUUCUAAUAUUUGGGUGAAGGGUCUUCCUUUUAAGAUUAUUUUCUUUUUCUGGUGGGCUUGGAAAGGGAGAAUUGCCACUUAAGACAAUUUGAUAAGGGAAAGGAUCAAUAUAGUAUCUAAGUGUUGGUGUUGUGAUACAACACAUCAGAAAAUCAUGGGUCACUUAUUUCUAACAGCUCCCAUAACUCAAAGGCUAUGGAAGCAUUUUGCAAUUUGUGCAAAUGUGGAGACAGAGCCAAGAAAUCUGAUGCAAGCAAUAACAAAUUGGUGGACAUUCAACGAAUCAAGAAAACUACUCAAAGUUUAUAAAGACAUUCCAACUUUGAUUUUUUGGGAGUUCUGGAAGAGAAGAAACAGUAUCAAACAUGGAGGACAACAAUCAUUUGAAGGAACGGUGCAGCAGAUAGAGACAAGCGUUCAAAGAAUCGUCACAAUGAUGUCACCUAGGAUUCAAGUGAUAGAGAAAACUUGGAUGGAAAUGGUGAAUAUUUUAGGUGCAUAUAAGCCUACAAUAUAUCAUCAUAUAGUAUACUAGAAUUUCCCAAAGAAAGAUAAAGUUAAAUGUAACACAGAUGGUGCAAGCAAAGAAAAUUCAGGAGAAAGUGCAUAUGAAUUCGGUAUAAGAGAUGAAAAAGGUGAUCUAAUAUAUACGCAAGCUAGGGGAAUAGGUUAUGCAACAAACAUGAAAGCGGAAGCAACAACAAUUUAUGAAGCUUUAAAAAUCAAUGAAACUAUGAAAUUCCAUCAAAUGGAUUUGGAAACAGAUUCAUUAGCUCUUAAGAAAAUAAUAUUGAGAGAAUGAAAAGUUCCAUGACAACUAGCAAAUAUAAUGGAUAUAAUUUUCAGUGAAGUCAGUAAACAAGUAGUUUAAAUAAGACACAUAUUCAGAGAAGACAAUCAGAUGGCUGACUAUCUAGCCAAUCUUGCAAUCAGCAGCACACAGAAACAAGAGUACAAACAGUUUAAAGAGCUGCCAGUCAUAGGUAGGAAAAUCAUCAACAUAGAAAAAGCACAUAUUCCUACAUUAAGGUUAAGAACCAGGAGGAUUAAGUUACAUGAAGAUACAUCAUAAUCAAAGAAGCAAACAAGAGAAGCAGAUAAGAAGUAGACAUACCUACAUGACAGUAUGCCCUUUUAGAGUCACUAUAGCUGAUCAAAUAAGAGUUUGGCUAAUCACCGUAAACACACAAAAAUGGUCACCAAAAAUUCAGAGGUACAAUGUCAUCUUGGUCAACAUUCAGGCGCGGUAGCAUCAUCUUGGUCAACAUUCAGGCACCAUGGUCGACAUGGAAACCUAUGGGAUGGAUGAAACUUCAAAAUGGAUACCACUUGGUGAUGGACAACUCAUUCCUUCUAAGAAUAACAAGCAUUGGUCAGAAAAUGAGCAACAUCGCAAAGGGAGGAGUAAGAUGGAAACACACCCACAGAAGGAGGUGACGGAGCUGGAGGUUCCGAUGGCUGCUGGAUGGG